AAGAAAGAGAAAAAAACUCACUCCCCAUCUACUAUUGUUUUUCUUGUCAUCACCUUCUUUCUUUUGGUGUCACGGUUUUGAUUUACUCUUUAGUCACUGUCAUAGCCAAAGAAGAGCAUCUUCAUAAAUACACUGAAGGCUCACGUUUUGCCAUGUCCUCCUUAACAAGUUUUUUUUCUUCUUCUCUCUUCACACCUUCACCGUCACGGAUCCAUUUAAACAAUAAAUACGCAGUAAUGUUUUAGUCGAAUGAAUCUUUGAACAUAUUUCCUAAAAACCCGGCAAAGAAAAAAACUGCUUUUUCUUCUUCUUCUUCUUCGUCCUCUGUCACUGUUCUGUCUUCGACGGUUUGGUCUGAAAUCUUUUUACUAACAAGAACAAGAAAGCUUUGUCUUUUAGCUCUUUUAGAAGGAGAAGAAAAUAGUAUCUUCUUUCACAGUCGCAUGGCUACAAUAAACGAUAUUGGAGUAGCAGCAGCAAUCAAUAUAGUGACAGCAUUCGCUUUUCUCUUAGCUUUUGCUAUAUUCAGGAUUCAACCAGUAAAUGACAGAGUCUAUUUCCCUAAAUGGUAUUUCAAGGGCUUAAGAAGUAGCUCUAUACAAACCGGUGGCUUUGGAAGCAAAUUUAUCAACUUGGACUUCAGGUCCUAUAUUCGAUUCCUUAACUGGAUGCCUGAAGCUUUAAAAAUGCCAGAACCCGAGCUCGUCGAUCACGCUGGACUUGAUUCUGUUGUCUACUUGAGGAUCUACUUACUCGGGCUCAAGAUCUUUUUCCCAAUAGCUUGUGUUGCUUUUACAACAAUGGUGCCUGUUAAUUGGACAAACAAGGGUUUGGAUCGGUUGAGGCAUUCUAAUAUAAGUUUCAGUGAUAUUGAUAAACUCUCUUUAUCAAAUAUACCGAAUGGGUCACCUAGAUUUUGGAUGCAUUUGUGUGUAGCUUACGCAAUCACCUUUUGGACAUGCUUUAUCCUGAAAAGAGAGUACCAGAAUAUAGCAUUAAUGAGGCUACAGUUUCUUGCAAAUGACCAAAGGAGACCUAACCAGUUCACUGUGCUUGUAAGAAACAUUCCUACAGAUCCUCAUGAAUCAAUAUGUGAACUUGUUGAACAUUUCUUCAAGGUCAAUCAUCCAGAUCACUACCUCACUUUCCAGGCAGUCCAUGAUGCAACCAAACUCUCAGAAUUGGUUCUGACGAGGAAACAAAUGCAGAAUCUGCUCGAUUACAAUAUAAACAAACACAUGAGAAAUCUAAAUAACAGGCCAGUUAUUAAGAUGGGAUUUCUUGGCUGCUUUGGUGAAGAAGUUGAUGGAAUCAAGUACUACACGUCUGCCGUCGAGGGUCUAACCAGAGAAAUCUCUGAGGAGAAACAGAGAUUAAGGACCGGCACAAAGUCCAUAGUGCCAGCAGCUUUUGUAUCUUUCAAGAGCCGUUGGGGAGCAGCGGUUUGUGCUCAAACUCAACAGACAAGAAACCCAACAGAGUGGCUAACCGAGUGGGCUGCGGAGCCACGUGACAUCUACUAUGACAAUCUGGCAUUGCCAUAUGUAGACCUUAAGAUAAGGAGGCUCAUAGUCGGCGUAGCAUACUUCUUCCUCACCUUCUUCUUCAUGAUACCAAUAGCAUUUGUACAGUCACUCGCCAACAUUGAAGGCAUAGAGAAGGCUUUUCCUUUCUUGAAGCCCCUUAUAGAAGUGAAACUGUUAAAGUCAAUCAUCCAAGGUUUCCUUCCUGGAAUAGCUUUGAAAAUCUUCCUCCUUUUCCUCCCAAGAAUACUGAUGCAAAUGUCCAAAUUCGAAGGUUUUGUCAGCACAUCCUCAUUAGAAAGAAGAGCUGCAUCUAGAUUCUACAUGUUCCAGUUCAUUAAUGUUUUCCUUGGAAGCAUAGUCACCGGGACUGCGUUUCAACAGCUCAACAGCUUCCUUAACCAAUCUGCAAACGAUAUUCCAAAGACAAUUGGCGUCUCGAUUCCAAUGAAAGCAACCUUCUUUAUAACAUACAUAAUGGUGGAUGGGUGGGCAGGUGUUGCUGGGGAGAUACUGAGGUUGAAGCCGCUCAUAAUCUAUCAUCUAAAGAACUCCUUCCUUGUGCGAACUGAGAAAGAUAGGGAAGAAGCAACUGAUCCUGGAACCAUAGGGUUCAACACCGGUGAGCCUCAAAUACAGCUUUACUUUCUUCUCGGUCUCGUUUAUGCAACAGUUAGCCCCAUCCUUCUUCCCUUUAUCCUCGUCUUCUUCGGCCUGGCUUACGUAGUGUACCGUCAUCAGGUAAUAAAUGUGUAUAACCAAAAGUAUGAGAGUGCAGGGAAGUUCUGGCCUGAUGUUCACAGGCGUGUUGUCACCGCACUGAUCGUUUCACAGCUGCUUUUGAUGGGUCUUCUAAGCACCAAACAUGCUUCUAAGUCCACUCCUUUGCUUCUUGUGCUUCCGUUGCUGACCAUUGGGUUCCACAUACACUGCAAAUGUCGUUACCAACCUGCUUUUGUCACAUAUCCUUUGCAGCAGGAAGCUAUGAUCAAAGAUACACUGGAACGCACACGUGAGCCAAAUCUAAACCUCAAGGAAUUCCUUCGAGAUGCGUAUGCCCACCCGGAGUUCAGGGUUGGAGAAAGUUCUGACCAAGAGAUGGGCUUGGAGAAGGCGAGGUCUGAUAAGUCACCAGAUUUAGUGGCUACCAAGCGUGGCUCAUGGAGGAACACUUCUUUGCCUAGCAAACAUAGCUACACGAAUUCACCCUGAUAGUUGCUUUGUUAUACCUCCAAUGGUGAUUCUUUUAUGUCUUAAAGAAGUUUUCCCUUCAUUGGAAAAAUGUACAUAAAUCUUCAGGUCAAUACCAUCUACGAUUACAUUGAUUUCACUCGAAUAUGUUCUACGAUUACACUGAAGGUGGGAUGAUAGCUAUAAAUCCUCAGGUCAGUGCCAUCUAUGAUUACAUUGAUAUCACUCGAAAAAGUUCUUCCCGUAAGUGUCUAGAAGUGGCUGAAGUGUUUUACGUCCAUCAGCACGAGCAAGAAGUCGACGCAGCCUGCAUUUAACACCAUCGUUUGGGGUAAAUUUCCUAUCGAGCAUGCUCUGAAGAAGCAGAACUGCAUCUUUAACCUUGUUCUCUUCAAGAAAGCCAGAUAUAAUAGUGUUAAACGAAACAGAAUCAGAGGGCAUCAAUAAUUAUGUUGUACGUUACGACAUCUGCCACCAAUCCCAUGUUUGGGAUUUCACCAAAGAGUCUCUUUGCGUCCUCCAGUUUCCCAUUUUUUAUCAGACCACUGAUUAGAGCAUUGAACUGAUAUAUGUCAGGAGAAUGACCAGAUUUCCAUAUUGCAUUGAAGAUUCCUUGCGCGGCAUCUACAUCCCCAGCUAGGCAAGAAGCGUGUAUUAAUGAAGUAUAUGUAUAAUUGUCUGGUUUCAGCCCCUCAUAUGUCAUUCGUCUUAUAAUGUCAAUGGCUUCCUCUA